CCCCGUGCUCACAGCGCCGUGGCCCCACCCCUUCCCAUGCCGAACAGGGUCGUGAAACGCGGCAGCGCCAAUGGUACUUGGAUGGCAGCAUCCUGGAAGAGUAGGUCGGCGCGGGGG
rnacentral:rRNA from 1 species